rnacentral:rRNA from 1 species
ACGAACGCUGGCGGCGUGGAUAAGACAUGCAAGUCGAACGCUGAUUUGAAGGUAGCAAUAUUUUCAAGUUGGAGGGGCGAAAGGGUGCGUAACACGUGGGUAAUUUGCCUUGAAGUUGGGGAUAACUUGCCGAAAGGUGAGCUAAUACCGAAUGUGGUCUCUCGGCGGCAUCACCGAGAGUCUAAAGCUGGGGAUCUUCGGACCUGGCGCUUCAAGAUAAGCCGCGGCCUAUCAGCUUGUUGGUAAGGUAAAAGCUUACCAAGGCAACGACGGGUAGCUGGUCUGAGAGGACGAUCAGCCACACUGGAACUGAGACACGGUCCAGACACCUACGGGUGGCAGCAGUCGAGAAUCUUUCACAAUGGGCGAAAGCCUGAUGGAGCGACGCCGCGUGGGGGAUGAAGGUCUUCGGAUCGUAAACCCCUGUCAUCUGUGAGCAAUGCUUUCCCCGUUUAAUACACGGAAUGUUGAUAGUAGCAGAAGAGGAAGGGACGGCUAACUCUGUGCCAGCAGCCGCGGUAAUACAGAGGUCCCAAGCGUUGUUCGGAUUCACUGGGCGUAAAGGGUGCGUAGGUGGCGAGAUAAGUUCGACGUGAAAUCUCCGAGCUCAACUCGGAAACUGCAUUGAAUACUAUCUCACUAGAGGAUCGGAGGGGAGACUGGAAUUCUCGGUGUAGCAGUGAAAUGCGUAGAUAUCGAGAGGAACACCAGGGGGCGAAGGCGAGUCUCUGGACGAUUCCUGACACUGAGGCACGAAAGCUAGGGGAGCAAACAGGAUUAGAUACCCUGGUAGUCCUAGCCGUAAACGGUGCACAUUUGCUGUAAGAGGAUUCGACCCCUUUUGUGGCGUAGCUAACGCGUUAAAUGUGCCGCCUGGGAAGUACGGUCGCAAGGCUAAAACUCAAAGAAAUUGACGGGGGCCUGCACAAGCGGUGGAGUAUGUGGCUUAAUUCGAUGCAACGCGAAGAACCUUACCUGGCCUUGACAUGCAUCUAGUAGAAACCUGAAAGGGCGACGAGCUAGCAAUAGGAAUUUGCACAGGUGCUGCAUGGCUGUCGUCAGCUCGUGUCGUGAGAUGUUGGGUUAAGUCCCGCAACGAGCGCAACCCUUGUGUCCUGUUGCCACUCGAACUUCGGUUCGGAGCACUCUGGACAGACUGCCUGGUUCCAACCAGGAGGAAGGUGGGGAUGACGUCAAGUCAGUAUGGCCCUUACGGCCAGGGCUGCACACGUACUACAAUGCCCGGCACAGAGGGAAGCAAGACCGCAAGGUGGAGCAAAUCCCUAAAAACCGGGCUCAGUUCGGAUUGUCGUCUGCAACUCGACGGCAUGAAGCUGGAAUCGCUAGUAAUGGCGCAUCAGCUACGGCGCCGUGAAUACGUUCCCAGGCCUUGUACACACCGCCCGUCACAUCAUGAAAGCCGAUCAUACCCGAAGUCGCCGAGCCAACCCUCGGGAGGCAGGCGCCGAAGGUAAGAUUGGUGAUUGGGAUGA